rnacentral:rRNA from 1 species
UACGAAGGGUGCAAACGUUAUUCGGAAUCACUGGGCGUAAAGGGUGCGUAGCCGGCAUGUUAAGUUCGUUGUUAAAGGCUCCGGCCUAACCGGAGUACCGCGAUGAAAACUGGCGUACUAGAGGGUGAGAGAGAGAAGUGGAAUUCCUGGAGUAGCGGUAAAAUGCGCAGAUAUCAGGAGGAACACCGGUGGCGAAGGCGGGUCUCUGGGCCGAUACUGACGCUGAGGAGCGAAAGCGUGGGGAGCGAACAGG